UUGGAGGGCAAGUCUGGUGCCAGCAGCCGCGGUAAUUCCAGCUCCAAUAGCGUAUAUUAAAGUUGUUGCAGUUAAAAAGCUCGUAGUUGAAUUUCGGGAUCAGUAUGUUGGUCGUGCUUCGGUACGUACUGUCAUUACUGGUUUCUCCCUUCUGAAGAACCUUGAUGUCAUUAAUUUGGUGUCUUGGGGAAUCAGGACUGUUACUUUGAAAAAAUUAGAGUGUUUAAAGCAGGCAUACGCUUGAAUACAUUAGCAUGGAAUAAUGAAAUAGGACGCUUGAUUCUAUUUUGUUGGUUUCUAGGAUCGACGUAAUGAUUAAUAGGGAUAGUUGGGGGCAUUAGUAUUCAAUUGUCAGAGGUGAGAUUCUUGGAUUUAUUGAAGACUAACUACUGCGAAAGCAUUUGCCAAGGAUGUUUUCAUUAAUCAAGAACGAAAGUUAGGGGAUCGAAGACGAUCAGAUACCGUCGUAGUCUUAACCAUAAACUAUGCCGACUAGGGAUCGGAUGAUGUUAUUUUUAAUGACUCAUUCGGCGCCUUACGGGAAACCAAAGUGUUUGGGUUC
rnacentral:rRNA from 1 species